rnacentral:rRNA from 1 species
CAAGUCGAACGGAACUUGAGAGAGCUUGCUUUUUCAGUUUAGUGGCGCACGGGUGAGUAACGCGUGAGUAACCUGCCCUGGAGUGGGGGACAACAGUUGGAAACGACUGCUAAUACCGCAUAAGCCCACAGCACCGCAUGGUGCAGCGGGAAAAGGAUUUAUUCGCUUCAGGAUGGACUCGCGUCCAAUUAGCUAGUUGGUGAGGUAACGGCCCACCAAGGCGACGAUUGGUAGCCGGACUGAGAGGUUGAACGGCCACAUUGGGACUGAGACACGGCCCAGACUCCUACGGGAGGCAGCAGUGGGGGAUAUUGCACAAUGGGGGAAACCCUGAUGCAGCGACGCCGCGUGGAGGAAGAAGGUUUUCGGAUUGUAAACUCCUGUCGUAAGGGACGAUAAUGACGGUACCUUACAAGAAAGCCACGGCUAACUACGUGCCAGCAGCCGCGGUAAAACGUAGGUGGCAAGCGUUGUCCGGAAUUACUGGGUGUAAAGGGAGCGCAGGCGGACCGGCAAGUUGGAAGUGAAAUCUAUGGGCUCAACCCAUAAAUUGCUUUCAAAACUGCUGGCCUUGAGUAGUGCAGAGGUAGGCGGAAUUCCCGGUGUAGCGGUGGAAUGCGUAGAUAUCGGGAGGAACACCAGUGGCGAAGGCGGCCUGCUGGGCACCAACUGACGCUGAGGCUCGAAAGCAUGGGUAGCAAACAGGAUUAGAUACCCUGGUAGUCCAUGCCGUAAACGAUGAUUACUAGGUGUUGGAGGAUUGACCCCUUCAGUGCCGCAGUUAACACAAUAAGUAAUCCACCUGGGGAGUACGACCGCAAGGUU